rnacentral:ncRNA from 2 species
AUUUCAUAUGUGGAAAUAGGUUCCUAAUUUUCUUUAGGAUUAAAAGGGAAGUCCGGUGUAAUUCCGGCACGGUCCCGCCACUGUAAUGGGAAUGUUAGCGUCAAUCACAAUAUGCCACUGAUCAACGGAUCGGGAAGGCCAGCCGCUAAUGAUAUUCCCUAAGUCAGGAGACCUGCCUAUUUCGACAACACUGU